rnacentral:rRNA from 1 species
AGACCCGAAACCCGGUGAUCUAGCCAUGGGCAGGUUGAAGGUUGGGUAACACUAACUGGAGGACCGAACCGACUAAUGUUGAAAAAUUAGCGGAUGACCUGUGGCUGGGGGUGAAAGGCCAAUCAAACCGGGAGAUAGCUGGUUCUCCCCGAAAGCUAUUUAGGUAGCGCCUCGUGAAUUCAUCUCCGGGGGUAGAGCACUGUUUCGGCUAGGGGGCCAUCCCGGCUUACCAACCCGAUGCAAACUGCGAAUACCGGAGAAUGUUAUCACGGGAGACACACGGCGGGUGCUAACGUCCGUCGUGAAGAGGGAAACAACCCAGACCGCCAGCUAAGGUCCCAAAGUCAUGGUUAAGUGGGAAACGAUGUGGGAAGGCCCAGACAGCCAGGAUGUUGGCUUAGAAGCAGCCAUCAUUUAAAGAAAGCGUAAUAGCUCACUGGUCGAGUCGGCCUGCGCGGAAGAUGUAACGGGGCUAAACCAUGCACCGAAGCUGCGGCAGCGAACGUAUCACUUAAAGCGAUUCAGCGGAUGACGAUUGACGGAGCGAAGCGACGUCAAAGCGUAUACAAAGUCGAGUCGGUUUAAGGAUACGUUCGUUGGGUAGGGGAGCGUUCUGUAAGCCUGUGAAGGUGGCCUGUGAGGGUUGCUGGAGGUAUCAGAAGUGCGAAUGCUGACAUAAGUAACGAUAAAGCGGGUGAAAAGCCCGCUCGCCGGAAGACCAAGGGUUCCUGUCCAACGUUAAUCGGGGCAGGGUGAGUCGACCCCUAAGGCGAGGCCGAAAGGCGUAGUCGAUGGGAAACGGGUUAAUAUUCCCGUACUUGGUGUUACUGCGAAGGGGGGACGGAGAAGGCUAUGUUGGCCGGGCGACGGUUGUCCCGGUUUAAGCGUGUAGGUGUGUGUUCCAGGUAAAUCCGGUUCACUUUAACACUGAGGCGUGACGACGAGGCACUACGGUGCUGAAGCAACAAAUGCCCUGCUUCCAGGAAAAGCCUCUAAGCAUCAGGUAACAUCAAAUCGUACCCCAAACCGACACAGGUGGUCAGGUAGAGAAUACCAAGGCGCUUGAGAGAACUCGGGUGAAGGAACUAGGCAAAAUGGUGCCGUAACUUCGGG